UUUUUUUGGUGGUGGCAAAAUAAGACAAACUCAUAGUCAGUGGCACACUUGGCUGAAAUUGAAGAACAAUUAAGUUAUUGUUAACUGUAGGACUUGAAUCAAUUUCAUGGAAUGUGGAUUGUUGUGGUGUUUAGAGUGAGAACAUGAUUUGGUGUUAUGUGUACUCAAGAAAUGGAUGGUGGAUCAUAUGCUCAUUUCAGUUACUCAGUUAUAGUAUAGUAAUUAAUUUUGAAUAAAUUUGCCAAAUUAAUUGGUUUUAAAUUUUGGUGAUGUUGAUGCCGUGUGCUACUGCUGUGUGCUUGCUGUUGUGUGCCUAGAUUGCUGCUUAUUAAAAAGCAUCUCAUCUGGUGUGUUGGUGGAGAAAUUAUUGUAUGUGAUAUUCCAAUUGAAGACUACAACAUAGAACUGGAAAAUCAGAGUGGAGAAACAGUACAAUUGGGAUCUGAGACUGAUCAGCGGUCUGUGAUGAUGGGUUUAAUGCUUCAUGCAAAUGCUACACAGUUGAUUAGAAUGGAAAGGUAUAAAGAUGCAUUGGAAGUGCUUCCCAUGGGAGAGGUUAGUAUCUGGUGGACUACAUGCCAAAACAAAAAGACUCUUCCUUGCUUCAGCACCCUUUGUUCUUUAUCUUCCUUGGAAAUGUACAUGUAUUAAUAAUCAAGCUGACAUGAAUUGAAUUUUGCUAGUUUGCAAAAGAUCUUGCUGCAGAAGCCCUUUGUAGAAAUGAGAAUGACACUCAGAAGGCUUUGGAUGAUUUGACAAAUCCAGAAUCUAAUUCUGCCAUACAGGUAAG